GGAGAAAUGGCUCAGCGGUUAAGAGCGCCUACUGCUCUUGCAGGGGUCCUGAGUUCAAUUCCCAGUUUCCACA
rnacentral:tRNA from 1 species